AGUGAACGCUGGCGGUAGGCCUAACACAUGCAAGUCGAACGGCAGCACAGUAAGAGCUUGCUCUUACGGGUGGCGAGUGGCGGACGGGUGAGGAAUACAUCGGAAUCUACUUUUUCGUGGGGGAUAACGUAGGGAAACUUACGCUAAUACCGCAUACGACCUACGGGUGAAAGCAGGGGAUCUUCGGACCUUGCGCGAUUGAAUGAGCCGAUGUCGGAUUAGCUAGUUGGCGGGGUAAAGGCCCACCAAGGCGACGAUCCGUAGCUGGUCUGAGAGGAUGAUCAGCCACACUGGAGCGGAGACACGGUCCAGACUCCUACGAGAGGCAGCAGUGGGGAAUAUUGGACAAUGGGCGCAAGCCUGAUCCAGCCAUACCGCGUCGGUGAAGAAGGCCUUCGGGUUGUAAAGCCCUUUUGUUGGGAAAGAAAAGCAGCAGGUUAAUACCCCGCUGUUCUGACGGUACCCAAAGAAUAAGCACCGGCUAACUUCGUG
rnacentral:rRNA from 1 species